GACGAACGCUGGCGGCGUGCUUAACACAUGCAAGUCGAACGGAAAGGCCCUGCUUUUGUCUGCUGCUCGAGUGGCGAACGGGUGAGUAACACGUGAGUAACCUGCCCCUGACUUUGGGAUAACUUCUGGAAACUGGGGCUAAUACCGGAUACGAGCUCCUGCUGCAUGUUGGGGGUUGGAAAAUUUCGGCGGUUGGGGAUGGACUCGCGGCCUAUCAGCUUGUUGGUGGGGUAGUGGCUUACCAAGGCUUUGACGGGUAGCCGGCCUGAGAGGGUGACCGGCCACAUUGGGACUGAGAUACGGCCCAGACUCCUACGGGAGGCAGCAGUGGGGAAUAUUGCACAAUGGGCGGAAGCCUGAUGCAGCAACGCCGCGUGCGGGAUGACGGCCUUCGGGUUGUAAACCUCUUUCGCCUGUGACGAAGCGUGAGUGACGGUAAUGGGUAAAGAAGCACCGGCUAACUACGUG
rnacentral:rRNA from 1 species